CUCAAAUUGAUUUGAUUUUAACGCAAUAUUUACACUGAAGCUCGCAGCAGGAAGCUUUAGUAAGAGGCAGGGCAUUUCCCAACCAGGCGCCGAGUCUAACCAAUCAAAGCACACACUGGCCCAGCUAACCAAUCACAGCACAUCUCCAAUUCCAGAAGGCGGGCCUUCAUUUGAUACAGGAACUAUUCGAGCUGUUCAUGCCAGACUAGGGAGAGAGGUAUUGUCAUAAUGUUAAAUAUGUGAAAAAUAAUGUGUUUUUUGACUAACCUA